UCAAGAUGGUAAGGGCCCACGGUGGAUGCCUCGGCACCCGAGCCGAUGAAGGACGUGGCUACCUGCGAUAAGCCAGGGGGAGCCGGUAGCGGGCGUGGAUCCCUGGAUGUCCGAAUGGGGGAACCCGGCCGGCGGGAACGCCGGUCACCGCGCUUUUGCGCGGGGGGAACCUGGGGAACUGAAACAUCUCAGUACCCAGAGGAGAGGAAAGAGAAAUCGACUCCCUGAGUAGCGGCGAGCGAAAGGGGACCAGCCUAAACCGUCCGGCUUGUCCGGGCGGGGUCGUGGGGCCCUCGGACACCGAAUCCCCAGCCUAGCCGAAGCUGUUGGGAAGCAGCGCCAGAGAGGGUGAAAGCCCCGUAGGCGAAAGGUGGGGGGAUAGGUGAGGGUACCCGAGUACCCCGUGGUUCGUGGAGCCAUGGGGGAAUCUGGGCGGACCACCGCCUAAGGCUAAGUACUCCGGGUGACCGAUAGCGCACCAGUACCGUGAGGGAAAGGUGAAAAGAACCCCGGGAGGGGAGUGAAAUAGAGCCUGAAACCGUGGGCUUACAAGCAGUCACGGCCCCGCAAGGGGUUGUGGCGUGCCUAUUGAAGCAUGAGCCGGCGACUCACGGUCGUGGGCGAGCUUAAGCCGUUGAGGCGGAGGCGUAGGGAAACCGAGUCCGAACAGGGCGCAAGCGGGCCGCACGCGGCCCGCAAAGUCCGCGGCCGUGGACCCGAAACCGGGCGAGCUAGCCCUGGCCAGGGUGAAGCUGGGGUGAGACCCAGUGGAGGCCCGAACCGGUGGGGGAUGCAAACCCCUCGGAUGAGCUGGGGCUAGGAGUGAAAAGCUAACCGAGCCCGGAGAUAGCUGGUUCUCCCCGAAAUGACUUUAGGGUCAGCCUCAGGCGCUGACUGGGGCCUGUAGAGCACUGAUAGGGCUAGGGGGCCCACCAGCCUACCAAACCCUGUCAAACUCCGAAGGGUCCCAGGUGGAGCCUGGGAGUGAGGGCGCGAGCGAUAACGUCCGCGUCCGAGCGCGGGAACAACCGAGACCGCCAGCUAAGGCCCCCAAGUCUGGGCUAAGUGGUAAAGGAUGUGGCGCCGCGAAGACAGCCAGGAGGUUGGCUUAGAAGCAGCCAUCCUUUAAAGAGUGCGUAAUAGCUCACUGGUCGAGUGGCGCCGCGCCGAAAAUGAUCGGGGCUUAAGCCCAGCGCCGAAGCUGCGGGUCUGGGGGAUGACCCCAGGCGGUAGGGGAGCGUUCCCGAUGCCGAUGAAGGCCGACCCGCGAGGGCGGCUGGAGGUAAGGGAAGUGCGAAUGCCGGCAUGAGUAACGAUAAAGAGGGUGAGAAUCCCUCUCGCCGUAAGCCCAAGGGUUCCUACGCAAUGGUCGUCAGCGUAGGGUUAGGCGGGACCUAAGGUGAAGCCGAAAGGCGUAGCCGAAGGGCAGCCGGUUAAUAUUCCGGCCCUUCCCGCAGGUGCGAUGGGGGGACGCUCUAGGCUAGGGGGACCGGAGCCAUGGACGAGCCCGGCCAGAAGCGCAGGGUGGGAGGUAGGCAAAUCCGCCUCCCAACAAGCUCUGCGUGGUGGGGAAGCCCGUACGGGUGACAACCCCCCGAAGCCAGGGAGCCAAGAAAAGCCUCUAAGCACAACCUGCGGGAACCCGUACCGCAAACCGACACAGGUGGGCGGGUGCAAGAGCACUCAGGCGCGCGGGAGAACCCUCGCCAAGGAACUCUGCAAGUUGGCCCCGUAACUUCGGGAGAAGGGGUGCUCCCUGGGGUGAUGAGCCCCGGGGAGCCGCAGUGAACAGGCUCUGGCGACUGUUUACCAAAAACACAGCUCUCUGCGAACUCGUAAGAGGAGGUAUAGGGAGCGACGCUUGCCCGGUGCCGGAAGGUCAAGGGGAGGGGUGCAAGCCCCGAACCGAAGCCCCGGUGAACGGCGGCCGUAACUAUAACGGUCCUAAGGUAGCGAAAUUCCUUGUCGGGUAAGUUCCGACCUGCACGAAUGGCGUAACGACUUGAGCGCUGUCUCAUCCGUGAACUCGGCGAAAUUGCAUUACGAGUAAAGAUGCUCGUUACGCGCAGAAAGACGGAAAGACCCCGGGACCUUUACUAUAUCUUGAUAUUGGUGUUCGGAACGGUUUGUGUAGCAUAGGUGGGAGACUUUGAAGCGGGCACGCCAGUGUUUGUGGAGUCAUCGUUGAAAUACCACUCUGAUCGUUUUGAACUUCUAACCUCGGUCCGUAAUCCGGAUCAGGGACAGUGUCUGGUGGGUAGUUUGACUGGGGCGGUCGCCUCCUAAAAAGUAACGGAGGCGCUCAAAGGUUCCCUCAACCUGGUUGGUAAUCAGGUGUCGAGUGUAAGUGCACAAGGGAGCUUAACUGUGAGACAGACAUGUCGAGCAGGUGCGAAAGCAGGAACUAGUGAUCCGGCGGUGGCUUGUGGAAGCGCCGUCGCUCAACGGAUAAAAGGUACCCCGGGGAUAACAGGCUGAUCUUGCCCAAGAGUCCAUAUCGACGGCAUGGUUUGGCACCUCGAUGUCGGCUCGUCGCAUCCUGGGGCUGGAGUAGGUCCCAAGGGUUGGGCUGUUCGCCCAUUAAAGCGGCACGCGAGCUGGGUUCAGAACGUCGUGAGACAGUUCGGUCUCUAUCCGCCACGGGCGCAGGAGGCUUGAGGGGGGCUCUUCCUAGUACGAGAGGACCGGAAGGGACGCACCUCUGGUUUCCCAGCUGUCCCUCCAGGGGCAUAAGCUGGGUAGCCAUGUGCGGAAGGGAUAACCGCUGAAAGCAUCUAAGCGGGAAGCCCGCCCCAAGAUGAGGCCUCCCACGGCGUCAAGCCGGUAAGGACCCGGGAAGACCACCCGGUGGAUGGGCCGGGGGUGUAAGCGCCGCGAGGCGUUGAGCCGACCGGUCCCAAUCGUCCGAGGUCUUGACCCC
rnacentral:rRNA from 1 species